UUAGGAAUUUUGCGCAAUGGGCGAAAGCCUGACGCAGCAACACCGCGUGAGUGAUGAAGGCCUUCGGGUUGUAAAACUCUUUUAAUCGGGAAAAAAUAAAUGAUGGUACCGAUAGAAACAGCACCGGCUAACUCUGUGCCAGCAGCCGCGGUAAUACAGAGGGACCAAGCGUUGUUCGGAUUUACUGGGCGUAAAGGGCGCGUAGGCGGUUUGUCAAGUCAGUUGUGAAAUCUCCGAGCUUAACUCGGAACGGUCAACUGAUACUGUCAAACUAGAGUACAGAAGGGGCAAUCGGAAUUCUUGGUGUAGCGGUGAAAUGCGUAGAUAUCAAGAGGAACACCUGAGGCGAAGGCGGGUUGCUGGGCUGAUACUGACGCUGAAGCGCGAAAGCUAGGGUAGCAAACGGGAUUAGAUACCCAAGUAGUCCCUGAGCGGGCUGGCAAGGCGCAU
rnacentral:rRNA from 1 species